GGAUGUGAGGUGAUCUGGCUGCGACAUCUGUCACCCCAUUGAUCGCCAGGGUUGAUUCGGCUGAUCUGGCUGGCUAGGUGGGUGUCCCCUUCCUCCCUCACUGCUCCAUGUGCAUCCCUCCCAAAGCUGUGUUGUUGGUCGAAGAGAUUGAACUUCCUCGCUAGAGGAGAACCAAUCUUCGGUCAAGGGUGUGAAC
rnacentral:snRNA from 1 species